rnacentral:lncRNA from 1 species
UGCCUCGUGCCUCUUACAUGUCCUCUUUCCAGCAGGCUGAGUGAUGGAUUCCAGAGCCAGGAAGACCAGGUUUUAAUCUUGACUUGGCCACGUGGGAGCCAUGGAACCUUGGACAGAUACUCUAAUAUUUGCAUCUCAAUUUCUUCUUCUGUAUAUUGGGGAUACACAGAAUUAUUACAAUUGUUUCAUUUGUUAUUCAACCUUCACACAUUCGUUGAGGGCAUUAUUUUACAUACCAGGCACUAAAGACACAGAGAGGAACUACAACUCAUCCCCACAUCAAGUAGGUAAUAUUUUUUUAGAUAAAAAACAAUGUGAAAUCACCAAGCCAAAGAUUAAACACUCAGAAUAUAGUGGAAAUAAGGGAAUUUUAAGUUCAGAGACACUGUUGAUUCCCAGCCCUGGCAUUGAAGGUUCUGGGCAGGUUCUCAUACAUUCCGGUCAUCAGCUCCUUCAUCUGUACAACAAGCUUUAACUAGAUGAAUUUUUUUAAUUGUUGGCAUUUUAUUAUUGUGUAAACUUAUCAAUUUAGAAAUUAAAAAAAUAAAUUAGUGGCUUUGGUAAUUAGUGCCAUAUAAUUAAACCAAAUGGGUACCCGGAGGCACUUAGGAUUCUAUCCUGGAUACUUUGUAUCAAAGACAUUUUGAAGGGUCCUGGCACUCCUGGGGAAAAGCCUGAAUUUUAUAUCUAUAGACUUGGAAUCCAAUCCUAGUGCUACCACUUAACUGGCUGAGUAUCUCUGAGCCAGUCAUCUGUAUCUCUUGAGUUACCAUUGCCCAUGAUAAAAUUUGGAGAAAAAUAUACUUUGCAGUGUUGUGAGCAUUAGAGAUUGCAGCCAGGUGCAGUGGUACAUACCUAUGGUCCCAGCAACCUGGGAGGCUGAGGCAGGAGGAUCAAUCACUAAGCCCAGGAGUUUAGGGCCAUCAUAGGUGACAUAUUGCAACCUUUUUUCUUAAAAAAAAAUAAAAGAAAUUAGAGACUGCUUCGGUGAAUGCCUGACAGUCAUUCCUCACUAUUACAUGGUCUAUGAUCUGGCAGACUGUCCCUUGAUGGCAGGUUCUGCAUCUGUUUCUUUGGUCUCUGUAGGGCUUCGUACAGGACCAGGCAGGGAACAGAAUUUCAGUGUCUACUGAAUGAAUGAACAAAUGAGUA